rnacentral:rRNA from 1 species
GGUAGAGGAGCGUUCCUUUAUGGGAUGAAGGGUAACCGUAAGGAUGCCUGGACUAAAAGGAAGUGAGAAUGCCGGCAUGAGUAACGAUAAGGAGAGUGAGAAUCUCUCCCGCCGAAAACCCAAGGUUUCCUGGGGAAGGUAAAUCCGCCCAGGGUUAGUCGGAACCUAAGCCGAGGCCGAAAGGCGUAGGUGAUGGACAACCGGUCAACAUUCCGGUACUACCAGAUUAUCGCUUUAAGUGAUGGGGGGACGCAGGAAGGUAGAUCAGCACGAUAAAAGUUACGUGUCCAAGCCUGAUAUGGGAGAAGAUAGGAAAAUCCGUCUUCUAUUAAAACCCUAAGAGGUGAUAGGGAGCUGCUAUGGCAGCGAACUGAUCGAUCCUACACUGCCAAGAAAAGCCUCUAAACAAGAUAAUCCGGUAUCCGUACUAAAACCGACACAGGUAGGUAGGUAGAGAAUACCAAGGCGCUCGAGAUAACCCUCGUUAAGGAACUCGGCAAAAUGACUCCGUAACUUCGGGAGAAGGAGUGCCCCGGUAGGGUGAGCCAAUUUACUUGGUUAGCCCGAGGGGGUUGCAAAGAAACGG